GAUGAACGCUAGCGGGAGGCUUAACACAUGCAAGUCGAGGGGCAUCACGGGGUAGCAAUACUCUGGUGGCGACCGGCGCACGGGUGAGUAACGCGUAUGCAACCUGCCCUGUACCGGAGGAUAACCCGGAGAAAUUCGGACUAAUACUCCAUAAAGAUAUUUUGAGGCAUCUUGAGAUAUUUAAAACCACGGUGGUACGGGAUGGGCAUGCGUAACAUUAGCUAGUUGGCAGGGUAAUGGCCUACCAAGGCAUCGAUGUUUAGGGGACCUGAGAGGGUGAACCCCCACACUGGUACUGAGACACGGACCAGACUCCUACGGGUGGCUG
rnacentral:rRNA from 1 species